CACGCCAUUCUUCGAGUCUUUCAAUUCUUCGCUGGCUAUCUCUUUGGUUGCUUGUUCCUUUCUUUAAUUGGUUCUUUCUUUUUCCACUUCUUUUCGUUAAUUAAGUGCUUCUACUUGUUGAUUUAUAGAUGUGCGAUCUACGUCGGGGAGUCUGGCGAUCGUUUUCUGAUGUAGUCCGUUCAGAUCGGGGUUGUUUGGGUGCAUUUGGUUCCAAUUCGGCGAUGUUUGGUGUUGGAUUGAAAUUCAUUUUAUUGUUUUGUGGUUUUGUUUGGGAUCAUGUCUAGGCGUUUGGUUCUCGGUUGAUUUGGUUUUCUUUAUCUGCAGCGGGAGAUUUUGCGAACGAUGGUUAAUACAUGACCUGUGGUAGAAGAAAGGGGUUAACUAACUAAGUCUGAUUUUGUGUUUUGCUAGUUUUUGUCUUGGCCUUUAUGUGGUUUUCUUACACGAAAAUUUUGAUAUUAUGCUCUCAGACUUUUGGUUAAUUGGGAUCUUGCGAUAUUUCGAGACAAUGCCCGUUUUUAUCGAUUUGCCAUCUUCUUUCUAUAUGAGGAUGUUGUGGCUGGGAAGAUAUGAAGAAUCCCAAAGAUUUUGUUGAUGUGAAGAGAUUCUUCAGUGAAUUGUAAGGUUUUACUUCGAGGAUGGUAUGGUUUGGCACCGUUUGCAAGUGUUUUUUUAAAUAAAUUUGAUUUGAAGUUCUUGAACAUCUUGGAAUGACUUGGAGGAUUUUGAGUAGGUGCUGUCUGAUUUAAGUCCCGGUGUAGUUCUUGGUGAUUGGUAUGAUCAUUAUCGUAAUGUGCUCCUUGCCUGUUGAUAUAAGAGCGUUUAUGAUUAACAGAAUACCAUUUGUAUUGUACUUUUGGUCGUAUUCUGCUGUUGUUGCCCUUGGUCUCAUGCUGCAGAAUGUCCUGGGCAGGUUAAUCGAUCUUGUCUGCCUUAAGAUACGCCUGCAGUAAUGUGAUUAAUUGCAACCAGUGAUGAUGAUGCGUGCCAGGCUGUUUGGUAAUGUUUCUUGUUAGGUUUCGGGAGUCGUGAUUAUUCUAUUAUUUUUGGAGACUUGGGCUUUUUGAUCGCAGAAUGUAUUAAUCAAGACCAACUAGUGUUGCCCGGCUUGAGAGAUGCACACUGUGAGGCGAUUGGAUAAUCAUUCAUCUGUCCCGAGUCUGCCUUUGGGUUUUUCCUUUUCAACAUCUUUCCUCAAGCAUUUAGAAUUUUAUUCUGCACUGCUAUCAUGCUUAUGUGCCUUGGAUAGCUGCUGUGCGCAUCACUUUCCUAUUUGCAGAAGGCUUGGCAAGAUCAAGGAGUGUUGUUUUGUUCAAGAGAUGCACUCUGUAAGGCUAUUUGGUUAGACCAUCAGAUUUUGAUACACCCGAUGCUGAGUCUGCCUUUGUUGUUUCAUUUGAGAAUAUCUUAAUUCAAGAAUCUUUGCUGUGAUUGUUUUUAUGUGCCCUUGAAUCCUUGCUGUGCACUUCGUUUUCCUAUUUGCAGAAACUGUGGCAACAACAAUCCUGGAUGAUGUAUUAUUUGGUACCUUUUAUUUUCUUAUCCAACAGUGUAUCAUGCUUUCAUAGUAUGCUUUUCUGGAUUUUGGCUUUGGGAUUGCAAGGCAUUGAUUACAGGCACCUUAUGAUGCGGCUCCACUAGUUCCAGAUAUGGAUAUACCUGAUGAGUAGGUUUGUCUUGUAAUUGGACCUUAGUUGUUGUGUUCGACUCCUGUGUCUUGGCUCUUGGUUGCAGAAUGUUUUAGGGGAGAGGCGGAGGAUUGCCUCAACACACAAAAAAAGGCACGCAAUGAUCUGCUGAGUUUGUGUCACUCCCCUCUCUACUUACACUUUUGCCAACAGAACUUUGCAAAGAAAGGAAUUGAUGCCAAACCACCAUUUUGUGGUACCUUAUGCUUUUAUAGUUUUGGAGAAGUUGCAUUUAUGGAGUAAUGCUCUUCUGAGUUUGGCUUUUGAUUGCAGAGUUGUUGAGCUUAAGGAAUAUUGGCUGCUUCAGGAUAGGCACUGUAGAGGCCCCAUUAGUCCCACACAUGGAUACAUCUCAUCCUAAGUUUGCCUCAUCUGGCUUUCCUUUUGUCCUCUUCUCUCAUGAAUAGGCUUUAGUGUUUGCUGCCAUGAUUUUAUCUAUCAUUGAAUCCUAUUUCUAUUGCAGAUAACUGCAACGAUAAUGAUGAUGGCCUGCCAAUCAUUUGGUACCCUAUUAUUCUCUAGUUUUUAGGAAGUCACGUUAUUCUGUUAUGCUGUUCUCAAUCUUAAGUUGCAGAAGUGUUAGUGAAAGAGGUGAUGUUGCUGCAGUGUUUUCGGUUCCAGGAUAGGCCAUUAGCUCCUGAUGUGAAUGUACUUGAUACUACGUAUUUCUCUGUCUUGUGCUCUUUUCUUGUCUUGUCAUGUGUUCUCCAAGUUGCAGUGUGAAUCAUGUGUUACUGUCAUGGGUUCUAGUUUUGUCUGCAGAACAUAACAGGCUACUAGAGUAAUGAUGGCCGAACAAGCAAGCAUUUUCUACCUUUUCUUGUUUUCUCGUUUGGGGAGAUAUGGUGACUUUAUUUUCUUUUCCUGCCUCUUCCUUUCUCUGGCAUGAGAGUUAGUGCUGUUUGCUUCAUUCCUUAGACCUUGAUACAUCCAGAGAUAGCCUUGCCUGAAGCCAAGUUUGCAUUAUUCUGCUCCCUGACAUCAAUUUUUCUUUGGUGCCGCCACUAAGUUCCUAGUGUGCACUUCUAUAAUUCUUAUCUUUCCUCACAUUCUAGUAUGUGCGCCCUUUCUGUUUGCAGGAAACUGUGUGUGGCGAGCAUCUGGUUGUGUUUCCAUUUUGGAGUUUGUGUUUUCUUCACCCCGAACUUGCAUUAUGCUUCAAGAAUGGUUUUUGGUUUACGAGUACUUGUAUGUUAUUUUGUGAUUUUAACUUGGUUUCAGGUUUUGCUGAGGCAAGAGCUGCCUGGUCUUAAAAUUCUGGACUUGUUCUAAAGUGUGGGAUGAGUAUGGCAUAUGACUAAUAGUAUAUCUUUAAUUCAUGAACCUUCUAAUCUUUUUUGUGAUUCUCACGGAAGUUCGUUUUUUUAGGCUAUGGAGUAUAAAGUCACUGGUGUUUUGGGGCGUCAUUUAGUGUUUUGUAACGUUUCUCUUAUUUUCUAUUUAUCUAACUGUAUGUGUUCUCCAUUGGUUUUUAUUUGCUAAAUCUUGUUGUUAGCUUUUAAUCUGUUUAUCCAGGCGAUUUGAGUUGAAACAAUGUUUUGAAGUCAUCAAUUUGCUGGAAUGUUGGGAAGUCAAUUGUUACAUUUAUAUAUGGUUUGAGUUGACCUUGGGGUAUGAUCUUGUCUUCCUCCCGUGCCUCCCUGCCUAGUUGGACAGGUGUUGCGUUUGGCCAAGAGUAAUGUACAAGCCAUUUCCUUCUUACCUUUGUCUUCUUUAAUGAGGUUUUGGUUUUGUUGACCUUGUGUAUCAUUUGCCUUUUGGCUUUGGGAUGCUUUGCCUUUUGGUUUGCAGAUUUUGAAGAGUCCAAAUAUGGUUUUGUCCUGUUGCUUCCUCAUUUGAUCAUCAUCUCCUGCAUAUUGACACCGGUUUCCUUGGGUUGGCUCUUGGUGGUGGGGAUCUUUGGUGUGCACUGUUGAUUUCAAAUUUUUAAAUUUUGUGGGCUUUUUCUCGGAUGGUCCUUUCUUUUUUGUGUUCAAUAAACCUCUGUAGGGACUUGGUUUUCUUCGCGUAUUAUUUGAAAUUUCAUGUCAUUGAGUAUGUUCCCAGCUUGGAUGCUCAUGCUUAUUGUGCUGUCGCGGUUUUGGUUUUAGCACUAGCAGGCUUUGGGAAGUGUUCCAGAUUUGUGUUGUUAACGUUUGGUGUCUUUAUAUGUACAAACUAACAAUUUUGGAGUCUGAUUGGAACCAUUGAAUUACUCAAGGAAGGCCGACAUGGAGAGUGGACCAUAAAUUUUUGUGAUCUUUGUUAUGGUUUGCUGUUAACGUUUUGUUGCGCGCUUAAUCUGCAAGCAAUAGGUUGUAUGAGGGUUUGCAGUAUGCUGAGUCUAAUGUCUUGGCAAUUUCUGUAGGAAACCGCAGUUUGAAUAGGUCGUCAGUGGUCUCAUUCGGUGAGUUGUAUUGAUUCUUUUAGAAAUAUAGUAUUGUGGUACUGCUCUUGGGAUCUCUAGUUUGUAUCAUUCUUCUGCUCCCUUCUGUUUAACAGUGGCACAUGCUAUUUCUCCAUUUUUUAGCGGCAUUGAGUAUCGGGCGUUAAAUUGGCAAUGAAGUUUAUGAUUUUGGCUCUACUGCUGAUGGAUGUUAUGAGUCAUCAAUGGGGUGCUGUCCUCCCCGUUGUAUUUAUUCUGUUCUCCACUGGAGCUUGAUUACUCUGUUUCGGUCAUUUCUUUCUUUAAUCCUGCUGCGAAUGGAUGUUACGAGCUGUCAAUCCGGUGCUAUACUUUUCUGUGUUCCAUUUUUGCAAAUGAUAAAUACACAUCAUUUUGAUCAUGUCAACGGAAAGGUUUGGGCUGUUGCUGACUGCUUUAAGGGUGUCGUUUAUUGUGGUUUAAGUUCGUUGUGGAAUGUAUAGGCUCUUCUUGUCCUGACUUUUAAAGGCUUGACUACCAGCCAAAUGGAGACCCAUAUAAGAUGUGAUUGUCUGUUGCUUUUGUUGUGUGUAGGGUCUAAUAUCAUGAAUUUUUGAGCUGCUUCAUAUUCAACCUAUCGCUUUCCGUGUUACAAAUGAUGGAGGAUAGGCUUUUGUUAUUGAGAAAGCUGGUUGGGUUUCUUUGUUUUGAGCCAUGUCGAUUGGGGUCAUAACCGUGAACUUUGUCCCUGAAAUUUCUCUUCUGUGUUCAAUGAAUACUCAUGCUCCCUUUUCACCUUUUAACUAUGGAAAAAUUUUGGCUUUGUCUGGAGGAAGUGUGGGGUUCGCUGAUCUUAAUGGUUUCUACUCUUACCUUCAAUUCACCUGAUAUUUGUGGAGAAAGAGCCCGGUCAUUGAUGAGGACACUGAUAUGCUUCUGCAAGGUAGCCCAGCAUUAUAGACAUUUUGAGAGUGUGUGCUUUUCAUGGCUUUCUUGGAACUUCAUGGUCAUAAUUCGUUGCAACUAGCUGGCGAGAAUGUGAAGGUCAUAAACUAGUAGCCGUGCCUUUAGAUUAUCAAGACUUAUCAACUUAUUCAUGGCUUUCUUUGCACUUCAUGGUCGUAAUUCGUUGCAACUAGCUGGAGAGAAUGUGAAGGUCAUAAACUGGUAGCAGUGCCUUUAGAUUAUCAAGUCUUAUCAGCUCAACAUCACCUUCCUUUUGGCCAAAGCAUGUUUGCUGUUUCAACUGGAGGCAUUUUGGGCUUUUGCAAGUGGUGCGUGUCUAGUAUCAAAUCUCUCUCCUCCUGAAAGAUGUUCAUGAUAGACCUGUCUUGUGCCAUCUGUGGGAUACGAGUCGAUCAUUCCUUUUUGUGGCUGUUCCAUAUUUCCCAUUUCUGAGUUCCGCAAAAAAAGUGCAGAGAUGUUACUGUUGUGAACAGGUCCUCCCUUGUUUGUAAGAUGCUUCUAGUUGAUAUUCAUGAUAGGUGGCUGUCAUCUGGUUUUUCGUUGUUGCAUAAUGGUUUGUAGUUGGCAUUCUUCUUGACAUGUGUAGUUGUCCUUGGUUGGUAAGGAGGAGGAAAUUGAAGUGAAGAACUCAGGUACGUGAACCUGGGACAGAGAUAGUUGUGUUCUGUUAUGCUGAUUUUGUAGGUUUCUUACGGCGUUUAAGAACCUUCAGACUGUAAAAACUAUUUCAUCUAUGGGUGUGUUAGGUUGGUUAGUACGACAUACCUUGAAUCAUGUCAAAAUUGGGAGUUGUAUUGAAUGGCUAAAGUGGACGCUGGGAAUGGGCUUGAAGGCACUAGAAUUGUUAUUAGGAGGAAUCCUAUGAUUGGUGUUGUGCCCUGAAAUUGUGCAUGCCUUUUGUUGUGUGCAAUGCCUGCAGUGUUAAGUCCCUUGUGCUCUUCUGCUUUGAACAUUUUUUCAUGACUCUGUGGCUUUUGCUUUGCAUCUGUUGUUGCAUCUGUUCUUUGUUUUCAAGUGUAGUUAAUAGGUAACUUGUGUAACUCCGCCUGCGCCAAGUGCAGCCGGUUCCAAGCCCGGAUAAAGGAGGAGGGUCAAGUGAUCAUAUAUUUUUUUUGUGUGUACUAAGGGUUGUAGGGUUGGAGAAAUGGAAGUGGAAAAUCAAAGGUAGGUUGCAGGUGAAAUGCUGCUGUUGAAGUUUUUAGAAAUUGCAUCUAAUAAAAAUUGUAUUCUUUAUUAAAUCUACAUUUAUUCUGAAAAUUUCAAGUUUCUGGCUGAUAAAAAUUUUAGGAUCAUAUCUAUACAUUCUUACUCUUUUGUCGCCAUUAUUGUUGAAUUCCAAAAUGCAACUGAAUAUACGUUUUAUAUGUUAAUUUGGUGUUCGAUUUAUCUUAUCUUAAAUUAAGUUAAUUAUUUGUUUUGUGGAGGGAACUGAAAAAAAUUGAACUCCUAACAUUUUGAAAUGCCAAUUCGGUCUUGGGAAUAAAUAAGAGAAUUCGGCACAUGUUAGUGGGGAUUGUUUGAAAAUCUCUGCGAACGAGCAACUUCGGGUCUAGCUUUCGUCGCUAGAGAAAAGUCAUGGAGGUUGGCAGAUUAGGUCAUUACUUUCUGCAGGUUUUCUUUUGUGGGCUAUAGCUGUAGGUUGUGCAGUUUUGUUGAUACCCCUCUACUGUGGGAGUCUCAUUGUAGCGAUAGUAUCUACGUUUAGCGUCUUCACACUGUUCUCCUGAAUUUUUGAAAAAUAUGAUGAAAAAGCCUGAAAGUCGCCGUUUUCCCUCACAUCUGCCCUGGCGUUCGCUAUG